GGCUUGCUUUUCAAAAGCUGUUUUGGUAUUUUACUUUACCCUAUAAUGUAAUGGUGGUUUUUAAAUUCUACCCAAUCCUUCUUGUGCUGGAGGGCUCUAAUUUUACGACAUGACCCAGCAAAUGGAUGAGACAGUUAAGGAUAAAUCUCCAACACCUUUAACUUCAGACUUUAGUUCUUCUGAAGCUUUCCCAGUACUGCCAGAAACGUUUGUCCUUCAGUCUAAUACACUUCUGUCAGUCAUGCUAAUUCUAAUCCCUUAUGUGUGAUCCAAACAAAAUAAUUCUUGCUCUUUACAUUCUAACUGAUCUAGUGUCAUGACAAUACUUGCCUGAAACUGGUGUUGAUCAGUCCUCUCAGCAUUUUACAGGGAUUAAUGAAUUUGUCUUCUCAAUGUCCCCCGGAGGCAGGAAAGCUUUCUGCAGAAAAGGGAACUGGGAAUCCAGGGAGAUGAAUGUGGUGAAGAUUACAAGAGAAGUAGUGGCACAGAGUUGAUGAGCUUUCUUUUCUCCCAGUCCUUAUAUCAGGAGUCAUCUUUCCAGGAAAACUGUUUCUGUUGCUACUAGUAGGUUGUUGGUUUUUUGUUUGUUCAUUUGUUUUUUGGUUUUUAAUUUAUCAUUGAAUAUAGCCUGGUUGGCUUCUUACUGAUGAAAACAAGAAGCUGUGUAUUCCCUGAGAAACAGAUAAUUUCAAGUAAUAACAAAUGCAGAAUGCAAGGAAAUAUAUCUAUAUUUAUGGAUGUUCAAGAUGAGAAGGUAUAGGCAGGGGUUUCUUUUGCUUUGAGCUCAUCUUACCAGUUGACUCAUAACAGACAAAAUGUCAAGGACACAGAAGUGCAGAGAGCUACUUAUAUUGAGGCUAAUUAUUUAUUAGUUCCUUGUUUGCUAUCGUAUACAUCAGACCAAAUGUCACCAUUAAGUAGAAUACCUCCACUAUGACAAUUUUUGUAGCUGUUAAGGAUAAGACCAAAUUCUGCAUGCCCCUGAGCUACUCAAAAUUCAGACAUUUCUCUCCAUCCCAGUGCAUAAUGUUUGUUCCAGGCAGAUGAUCAAGUAAAUUGGAAAAGAUUCCUGUAGUAAUAUGGAGAAACAAACCAGGUAUUAUUCAUACAUCACUGAGCAUACUUUAUUCUCACUGAUUUAAAAAUGUUCUUUCCUGGAAAGGGACCUUAUGUUUUAUCAGUUCUCGACUAUCAACAUGUUAAAUAU
rnacentral:lncRNA from 1 species